AAAUUGAAGAGUUUGAUCAUGGCUCAGAUUGAACGCUGGCGGCAGGCCUAACACAUGCAAGUCGAGCGGAAACGAGUUAUCUGAACCUUCGGGGAACGAUAGCGGCGUCGAGCGGCGGACGGGUGAGUAAUGCCUAGGAAAUUGCCCUGAUGUGGGGGAUAACCAUUGGAAACGAUGGCUAAUACCGCAUGAUGCCUACGGGCCAAAGAGGGGGACCUUCGGGCCUCUCGCGUCAGGAUAUGCCUAGGUGGGAUUAGCUAGUUGGUGAGGUAAGGGCUCACCAAGGCGACGAUCCCUAGCUGGUCUGAGAGGAUGAUCAGCCACACUGGAACUGAGACACGGUCCAGACUCCUACGGGAGGCAGCAGUGGGGAAUAUUGCACAAUGGGCGCAAGCCUGAUGCAGCCAUGCCGCGUGUGUGAAGAAGGCCUUCGGGUUGUAAAGCACUUUCAGUCGUGAGGAAGGUAGUGUAGUUAAUAGCUGCAUUAUUUGACGUUAGCGACAGAAGAAGCACCGGCUAACUCCGUGCCAGCAGCCGCGGUAAUACGGAGGGUGCGAGCGUUAAUCGGAAUUACUGGGCGUAAAGCGCAUGCAGGUGGUUUGUUAAGUCAGAUGUGAAAGCCCGGGGCUCAACCUCGGAAUUGCAUUUGAAACUGGCAGACUAGAGUACUGUAGAGGGGGGUAGAAUUUCAGGUGUAGCGGUGAAAUGCGUAGAGAUCUGAAGGAAUACCGGUGGCGAAGGCGGCCCCCUGGACAGAUACUGACACUCAGAUGCGAAAGCGUGGGGAGCAAACAGGAUUAGAUACCCUGGUAGUCCACGCCGUAAACGAUGUCUACUUGGAGGUUGUGGCCUUGAGCCGUGGCUUUCGGAGCUAACGCGUUAAGUAGACCGCCUGGGGAGUACGGUCGCAAGAUUAAAACUCAAAUGAAUUGACGGGGGCCCGCACAAGCGGUGGAGCAUGUGGUUUAAUUCGAUGCAACGCGAAGAACCUUACCUACUCUUGACAUCCAGAGAACUUUCCAGAGAUGGAUUGGUGCCUUCGGGAACUCUGAGACAGGUGCUGCAUGGCUGUCGUCAGCUCGUGUUGUGAAAUGUUGGGUUAAGUCCCGCAACGAGCGCAACCCUUAUCCUUGUUUGCCAGCGAGUAAUGUCGGGAACUCCAGGGAGACUGCCGGUGAUAAACCGGAGGAAGGUGGGGACGACGUCAAGUCAUCAUGGCCCUUACGAGUAGGGCUACACACGUGCUACAAUGGCGCAUACAGAGGGCAGCCAACUUGCGAAAGUGAGCGAAUCCCAAAAAGUGCGUCGUAGUCCGGAUUGGAGUCUGCAACUCGACUCCAUGAAGUCGGAAUCGCUAGUAAUCGUGGAUCAGAAUGCCACGGUGAAUACGUUUCCCGGGCCUUGUACACACCGCCCGUCACACCAUGGGAGUGGGCUGCAAAAGAAGUAGGUAGUUUAACCUUCGGGGGGACGCUUACCACUUUGUGGUUCAUGACUGGGGUGAAGUCGUAACAAGGUAGCGCUAGGGGAACCUGGCGCUGGAUCACCUCCUUA
rnacentral:rRNA from 1 species